GAUGAACGCUGGCGGCGUGCCUAAUACAUGCAAGUCGAGCGAACUGAUUAGAAGCUUGCUUCUAUGACGUUAGCGGCGGACGGGUGAGUAACACGUGGGCAACCUGCCUGUAAGACUGGGAUAACUUCGGGAAACCGAAGCUAAUACCGGAUAGGAUCUUCUCCUUCAUGGGAGAUGAUUGAAAGAUGGUUUCGGCUAUCACUUACAGAUGGGCCCGCGGUGCAUGAGCUAGUUGGUGAGGUAACGGCUCACCAAGGCAACGAUGCAUCGCCGACCUGAGAGGGUGAUCGGCCACACUGGGACUGAGACACGGCCCAGACUCCUACGGGAGGCAGCAGUAGGGAAUCUUCCGCAAUGGACGAAAGUCUGACGGAGCAACGCCGCGUGAGUGAUGAAGGCUUUCGGGUCGUAAAACUCUGUUGUUAGGGAAGAACAAGUACAAGAGUAACUGCUUGUACCUUGACGGUACCUAACCAGAAAGCCACGGCUAACUACGUGCCAGCAGCCGCGGUAA
rnacentral:rRNA from 1 species